UGUUGUUUUCGAAUGUAUCGGCCGCAGUGUGACACAGGCGUGUUCGUUUAUUCAAUACAUGUCAGGAGCACCCACUGACACCGUGACGUCAAAGUGACAUACACCAGAACUACUAGGUGGCGCGUCUUCCUUUCCGGUUUUGCUCAACCAGCCAAUCAGUGCGCGCCUGAAAGCGAAAAACGAAAUUUCGCCCAAAUGGAACAUUUCAGAAUACGGCCCCAGGACACCUUGAAGAUGCACCUGGCUAGCACCAUUCCAUCUGUCACAAUGACUCAUUUCCUACUAAAACACCACGUAAAGAGCUGUUUUAGCUUUAUUAUUACACAAAAAGAUGUUUAAUUAGAACUUGUUGAUG
rnacentral:lncRNA from 1 species